CAGACGAUGCGCACGUUUUACCUACCAACGAUUUGCGGCAGAUGAUAGACUUAGGCCUAGUUCGGUCCUCUCGAAACCACUCAGAACGAGAUCUGCACGGAUUGAUUUGACCCGAUUUAAAAUCCGAUCUAACACAAAAUAACCGUUCGGUUCGGAUCGGAAUAGAGCCGGUCUUAAUUCCAUUCCAGCUCGUUUUGGUUAUUCCGACCUCUUAGCACCCCAAAAUCAAUCCCCAUGUCUUGACCUCCAGAACGAAAUCCUUUCGAGUGAUAUAACCGGAUCCACUCAUUCCCC
rnacentral:lncRNA from 1 species